rnacentral:rRNA from 1 species
GCGAACGCUGGCGGCAGGCUUAACACAUGCAAGUCGAGCGGGCAUCUUCGGAUGUCAGCGGCAGACGGGUGAGUAACACGUGGGAACGUACCCUUCGGUUCGGAACAACUCUGGGAAACUGGAGCUAAUACCGGAUACGCCCUUAUGGGGAAAGGUUUAUUGCCGAAGGAUCGGCCCGCGUCUGAUUAGCUAGUUGGUGGGGUAACGGCCUACCAAGGCGACGAUCAGUAGCUGGUCUGAGAGGAUGAUCAGCCACACUGGGACUGAGACACGGCCCAGACUCCUACGGGAGGCAGCAGUGGGGAAUAUUGGACAAUGGGCGCAAGCCUGAUCCAGCCAUGCCGCGUGAGUGAUGAAGGCCUUAGGGUUGUAAAGCUCUUUUGUCCGGGACGAUAAUGACGGUACCGGAAGAAUAAGCCCCGGCUAACUUCGUG